AGUGAACGCUAGCGGGAUGCUUUACACAUGCAAGUCGAACGAGUGGAGGACGGGUGAGUAAGAGAUCGGAACGUGCCCAGCAGCGGGGGAUAACUACUCGAAAGAGUGGCUAAAACCGCAUACCAUUGGAGCGGCCGAAAUCGGAUUAGCUAGUUGGGGGGGUAAAGGCUCACCAAGGCAACGAUCCGUAGCUGGGUUGAGAGGACGACCAGCCACAUUGUGACUGAGACACGGCCCAGACUCCUACGGGAGGCCGCAGUGGGGAAUUUUGGACAAUGGGGGAAACCCUGAUCCAGCCAUCCCGCGUGUAUGAGAAGGCCUUCGGGUUGUAAAGUACUUUUGGCAGAGAAGCGGUAUCUUCAGAGUAAGCACCGGCUAACUACGUGCCAGCCGCCGCGGUAAUAC
rnacentral:rRNA from 1 species